CCUACGGGGGGCAGCAGUGAGGAAUAUUGGUCAAUGGCCGGAAGGCUGAACCAGCCAAGCCGCGUGAAGGACGAAGGUGCCAAGCAUUGUAAACUUCUUUUGUCAAGGGACAAAAUCAGGCUCGAGAGCCUGACCGAGGGUACUUGAUGAAAAAGCAUCGGCUAACUCCGUGCCAGCAGCCGCGGUAAUACGGAGGAUGCGAGCGUUAUCCGGAUUUAUUGGGUUUAAAGGGUGCGUAGGCGGGCUGUUAAGUCAGCGGUAAAAGUCCGGGGCUCAACCCCGGCGAGGCGUUGAGACUGGCUGUCUUGAGAAGUCGAGAGGUAUGCGGAAUGCGCAGUGUAGCGGUGAAAUGCUUAGAUAUUGCGCAGAACUCCGAUUGCGAAGGCAGCAUACCGGCGGCGAUCUGACGCUGAGGCACGAAAGUGUGGGUAUCGAACAGGAUUAGAUACCCGAGUAGUC
rnacentral:rRNA from 1 species